GGAGAGCCUGAUUAACAGGAACAAUCCAUUAAGUUCAAAAUUCAGCUGGACAUGAGCAGCCUGAUCCAGUGUCUAAGGUGGCCCUGCUUUGGGGAAAGAUAAGAUGACUGCCUGCAGUCCCCUUCUGAGCUAAAUUGUUCUCUGAUUCAAUCAGGAACCUAGAGAGGUCCCUUCCUCUUAAGGGACUUAAGAAUGCUUGCCUUUUUUAGGCUUGGAGUUAGGGUUGAGAGACAGUGCCUACUAGGGCUCGACAAUGCAGAUAUCUGAGCAAAAAUCUGAGCUGCACAGAUUCUUUUGCUGACGACAAACCUUUCAUAUUGCAGAGCCAGCUGUAGAGUACCCUCCCACCCUCUGGGAGCCCACAAGGAGGGCAAAGCAAAAAUAAGCUAUUGUAUCUGCAGAUGAAAUAUUUGAGCACUGUACUGCACUUUUCCAAUUAACUCUCUAAGCAAGACCGCCUGGAACUAGCAAGCAAUUGCAUCUAUUACCUGCUUCCUCCCAUCUCUCUUCAUGUGCAUCAUUCAGCAUUAAAAAAACCCUACCCUUUCUGACAACUCUCUUUGUAAUCAAGGUAAUGCAAAGUAAAUACUUGCAUUUAUGUCAUAAAACAGCUUGGCCUACCUACAAAUGAGAGCAUAUAAAUCCCCUCUUAGGAAAAGAUGUAUUUUAAAAUUGGAACAACAGCUUUAUUCAUAAUUCAGCAAAAACGCAACAGAAAAGCAAAGAAAAAAAUGCAAAUUGUAAAAAAAAAAAAAAGAUAAAUUUUAACUGCAUUAACUUUUAAUGAGAAUACUGCCUGGUGGAAAGUAAAGUGUAUGUACACAUGCAGAAACCAGCAGAGCCUGGAACUAACAUGCAUUGCUCAACUUUGUAGUUUGCUCUCUGAAGCAGCACUAAUGUAACUCUGCUUUUUUUUUUUUUCCUAUUACAAUAAACAAAAAAUUCUUCCUAAGCUAUAACGAAACAGUUGCAAGGCUACAGGCUGUAAGUUUACUGGUUACUUAGAUCAACUGAUUCUGUCUGCAGAGUUUGCAAGCACCACAAAAUUGCAAAAGCAAAACCUCCAAAGAAGGUGAAGGUGCAUACGCAUUUUUGUAGAAGACAUACCCUUUCUUAUGACCAUCAACAAGCUUUUAAAAAUAAAUCUAAUCACUCUCUAACAGUUCGAAGUGCACUUCACUUACUUUAGGUUUAAUAAAAACCUACCUGCAAUAUCUUGUAUAUUUUUCAAAAGGAAAUGCACAAGAUGCAAAAUUUAACCUGUGUUGUUAAACUGGGCAGAAACCCUACCACCAUCGCAAAGGCAAUCAAGCUUAGAUCAUGUCAGGUUUUGAUGUUUCAGAACAUUACUGUCACUGCUCUGUUACUUUAGAUCAGCUUUCCGUGUUGCUGCCUCCACCUUUCUUUCUUGAAGCCAGGAACCUAUGGAGGCUUUGUGGUAAGAGACACAGGCAUGGCUGGAGGAUCCUAGAGCUCAUCUGCUGAAAGGGAGGGUGGCUUGAGGCAGGAAGCAUAGAACUCCAGAAGUAUGUGGUGUGAUGGCUUGUCAUUCCUCCACUGGGCAUGAGCUGGUGGCAGUGAUCCUCCCCAGAGCUGGCUGUUGGGAGGAGGAGGAGAAAUAGAUGCUGUCUGUUGCUGGUAGACUUGAAGUUGGGAUUACAGGCAGUGUUGGACACCCUUGUGCUGCUUGUGUUAUUUGUUCUGCAAUGCUGGCAGAGCAUGUUGCUGCUCCAGGCCACAGAAAUCCAAACUGGAGACCAAGGACUCAACUCUGCAUGGUGGAAUGGCUGAAAUGUGCUUACUGGUUCUUGGGCAGCACAGCCUCACAGUGUUCCCAAGCUUUGGGAAGGCCUUGCUGCAUCCAUAUUGGACAGAAAGCUUCUGGGAGUCCCCAAGGAGGAGCACAUGUGAGCAAGUGAGUGUGGAGGAGUGAGUGUGUAUAUGUAGAGAGAGAGGGAGAGAUGGCCACAAAUGAAGGAGUUGAAGUGUCUUUUGCAAUCACCCCACACUGCAUUACCCUGCUAGGACCAUACUGGUAGGUAGAGAGAACCGUAACCCCUCUAUUGAUCAUCUUUACUGAAAGGUUCACUGGCCUUUAAAGGUUAUCGGGCAGUGUUACCAGAUACUAGUUACUAGAUAAAGAUGAAUUUUAUAGUGCUAGGAACACAAAAGACAGCAAACUUUAUCACGCCUUUUGCAAUAGAGAAGCAAGCUUCACAUACCUUGCUUUUUCCACCUUCGUGUACUUAAGCAGGGCCAGCCACAAGGUCACUCUAGAAACUAAGAAGGUUGAGCAAAAGCUGAAGGGCAGAGCAGAAGAUGAGGACAAUUUGGAUUGUUUUGUCUUCACAGCAGGAAAUCAUCAUGGAGGAGAACUAAAUUGUAUAGAGGCAACCUCCAGAAAGUCUCUCAGUCAUCUCAAAGGAGAUGCAGUUUCUGAACCAAGGUUCAAGAUAGUUUUGACCACAUCAUAUGAGGUCAGAUAGCACCAUUUGUAGAGUUAUACUACAAGGACAGAAGGUUCUCCAAUCUCAGAGAGGUGCUGAAAGAAUAGAAUUCACUAAUGCUGGUGAAAGAUGCUUGGAUACUACAGGGAACAGUGCCACAGAAAUGCCUAAAAAUACUGAAUUCAUAUUUGCAUGUUCUAAUUGUGCCUUUGGGUUCUCUAAAAUUGACUUGUUUUUAGUUUCAUUAAAAUACUUUUAAAAUUGGGAGCGGGGAGUAGUGUCUGGAUGCAGCAUCCAAAAAAGGGCAGCCCAAAGUCUGAAAACUCUUGCUUGGGGAAGAAGGGAAGGGAAUUUGGGGGGGCCUUGUCUUUUCCUGACCUGGACCUCUGACCAUGGCAUAUUCUGCAGGACAACAUCUUGUCCUGUUCUCAGCAGGCUUACAACACUGAAAGAGGCAAGAGCAGUAACUGGCUACACUUUAGGGCAUGCUGCAGUUGCAUUGGGAUUAAAGUAAACUCUCAAAACACCUUUCUGGAGAGAAAAAGCACCAUUUUUUUCAGUUAAUUUCUGUAAUUUGAAGGCAAAUCUGAAAACUAGGCAAAUGCAUAUUUCACCUGAGAGGUAUCACUUGGUUUUCAUUUCUUUCAGAAUAUCUUUCAGUGUCAGAUUCUUUCUUUCAGGAUAAAGCUGUCCUUAUGCAAAGCAGUGUGCCUAAUAGCUAUCCUCUACUACGUAAACAAGUCAAUUUUGCAAGGACUGUAGGUGUCAAGCCAGAGCACCGUUCGGGACUACAGUACAGGGAUUCUAGAUUUUAAAUGAAAUGUUACCUCAUGCAUCAUUUUCUGUCAUACUUGUAGAAUUCCAUUUUGUUUCUUUCAAAAUAAAUGUUACUUUCUGUAAUCUGUACACAUCCUAAAGCUACUGGUUUGUUUUUCUUAAUGGCCAUUUUGCUUUGCUUUAAACAUGUGGGUUUUCUUUAAACUCUAAAAAAAACCAAUGAAGGUUAAAACUUUGUACAUUUUUAAAAUGACUGCUAAGGUCAAAAGUAUAAAAGUACAUGUUGCAUUAAAAUUGAGUGCUGUUUAUGUAUUUACAGAGAUGUAUGUUUUUGCAUUGUUAAAAAGAAUGAUCUAUGCUUUCUUUUCGGGGGGAUCUGUGCUCCAGUAUUGUCCAAUAGCUUUCAUACUCUAAUUACUUUAAGUAAAGUUCUAACAGUU
ensembl:lncRNA